rnacentral:rRNA from 1 species
GAUGAACGCUGGCGGCGUGCCUAAUACAUGCAAGUCGAGCGAACGGACGAGAAGCUUGCUUCUCUGAUGUUAGCGGCGGACGGGUGAGUAACACGUGGAUAACCUACCUAUAAGACUGGGAUAACUUCGGGAAACCGGAGCUAAUACCGGAUAAUAUUUUGAACCGCAUGGUUCAAAAGUGAAAGACGGUCUUGCUGUCACUAAUAGAUGGAUACGCGCUGCAUUAGUUAGUUGGUAAGGUAACGGCUUACCAAGGCAACGAGGCAUAGCCGACCUGAGAGGGUGAUCGGCCACACUGGAACUGAGACACGGUCCAGACUCCUACGGGGGGCAGCAGUAGGGAAUCUUCCGCAAUGGGCGAAAGCCUGACGGAGGAACGCCGCGUGAGUGAUGAAGGUCUUCGGAUCGUAAAACUCUGUUAUUAGGGAAGAACAUAUGUGUAAGUAACUGUGCACAUCUUGACGGUACCUAAUCAGAAAGCCACGGCUAACUACGUG